GGGGGCGAGGGGGCUCGCCAGAGCGGCCCGGCGGUCCGCCGCCGCCUCUCCGCGGGACGGAGGAGGGAGGCAGCGCAGACUUAUCGCAUGGUCACAUGAGUUUCUCCACAAAACAGAGCAUUUGGCCUGAAGGACAAGCAACAUUUGUGCAUUAUCAUCUGUAACAGCAAAUGUAUUUAUCAGGAAGUGAUAAAGCAAAGAGUAAUGAAUUAGAACUAUGAGGAAUAAAUAACACACAGCAUGGCUUUCAUAUGGAG